AGAAAGGCCUUUCAGUGGUAUAGACAGUCCCUCAACUCCACCCACAUACCACUACUUUGAAGUGGGCAAUCUUUCAGCAAUAGGAUAAAUCGGAUUGUGUAGCGGGCUAAAGUGGAGGAGGCAGAACCACAACUUAAGGAGACAGCCUCGUUGCUGCUGCUGUUGUUGUUUUUCCUAGUUUUGAAAUAAUGUAUUUGGGGAGUUGUCAAAGAGCAGCUUACCAUGUUAGCUGAUCCUCUCCCAGCUUUGAGACCCUUCUCUGGAACACAGAGGGGCACUGAGGCAUUAAUAGCCUGGUGACUGCAGUCCCAGGAGGCCAGGGGAGGAUUUUGCUGAGGAGAAACAAGUCCUGGCUUACCCACCUCUAACCCUACUGCCAAAACACUACACCAGCAAAGGCUUCAUUGUCAAGAGCAUGGCAAUUCAUGGUGAAAGGAAAAAAAAAAAAAAAAAAAAAAAAAAAAAAAAAACCCAUACACUGGAAAAUAAGAGGAUGGCAAUGGAGCAGACAGUGGCAGCUCCUUCCUAAGCUUAUUAAUUUCCCACAUGGAGGCCUCAGGAAGGGGCUGUGGAGGCUGAGGGAGGCAGAGAGUAGUUCUUCAAGGAGGAGUAUUGCAUUACCUAGCCUCACCAUUCAGAAUAAGGAACUUUUUAAGGGAUAAACUUGAUUGACUACUUGUACAUGAAAGAGAGACAGAAAUGAUGGGCUGGCCAACUAAGAAAAACACCAGGCCUGUGCCAAAAAUGUUGUUCAGAGGUUGUUGACUCUUUUUCUACCAUUUUGCCUUUAUCAAGAGAAUGAUACGUGGUGGGGUUUUUAAAAAGAAACACAGAGGGGUUUGCUUGUUUGUUUGUUUUACAUCUUGGUGAGUCAAGAAGAGGCCUGCUUGCUGAUUUGGAUAAAGAAUGACCUGAGGGAGUUGCGUGUGGGGAGGGGUGCUUGUUUUUUAUAAGUAUACAUUGCAAUCUCCAUUUGGGUCUCUUCCUCACCCUAAGUAUUGUAGUUGGUUCACUGGGUAUUACAGGAGCAAAUGUUUUCCAGCCUGGCCCUGGGAAAGCCAGAGACUCAGAGUUGGGUAAUUUUGUAACCUGUGAGGAAGGACUUCAGGCUCCCAACUGUAGGGGUCAUUAUUCCUGACUCACAUUUAUCUCUCGUGGGCUUUUCCUCCUAAAUGGUCCUGCUUUUAAUGCUGCUGCUCCUGUAGCUGCCACUACCACUACUAUCAUGACGAUAGUUAUCUACCUUUCUCAAGUUUAAAAUUUUCUCUCUGAGCAUUCCCAAGUUUUACUUACACUUCUGUUGCAGUUCAGCUGAGAAUGGGAUACUCUUUGAAAGCUAUCUGUUAUCUUCCUCUCCUGGAUCUGGGUUGUAGUCAACUGGCUUAAUAGCCUCUGAGUAUGACUUUUAGGGGGGUUAGCAAACCGAAGUGAUAUUGGAGGCAACUACCAACAGGUAUGAAAUCAGUGCCUCAUACUCAUCUAUGUGAGUGUGACCUCUGAACCAAAUCCAAUAUCCAAUAUUUUGACCCCCUGGAUUCUCCCAACUUUUGUAAUCCUCCCGAGAUCAGUGUGUAAAUAUCUGGCAAGAAAAGGCCUGGAUUUUUGUCAAAUCUGUAGGUUCCAAAGUCCCUCCUAGACUCAGACAUCACAGACCAACUUUAUACCUGAGCAGAAAUUGUCAUCUAUGUGUGUAUGGGUAUGGGUGUGUGUUUAAGGUUGGGAUGAAUGUUGUCAAAGGUAGCAAUUAAAAAUAAGUUUUAGGACUGUCAUUUUCCUUGAAUGCUUGUUCAUUAAGCAUCCAGUGCUCUUUGUUGAAUGUUUUCAUGUAAGAUGGUUUUGAGAAAAUAGUUUGUGUGAAGUCAUACAGUACAGCGAUUGGUCCCAAGGGAGCAAAUUGAAUAGAGUUAUAAAGCUUUGAAUGCAUCUCAGUGUGAGGGGGGUUGCUGAUUGUAGCCGAAUCUCCAUCAGCCACUCUGAACGUCCUUACCCUCUGGGUCAGACUUUUUAGACAGACUCGGGAUCAGGGUAUGUCUAGCAGUCUCAAAUUUGUGUCCAGCAGUCUCAAAUGAGAUUUUGAAAAGUCUAACUCUAGGCCUUGGGAAUGUGACAACAUUGAGAGGCUCUACAUCAAAUUUCUUUACACAGCCAGGAGAAUGGACGUUAUCCCAAGAUUCAGUACCUGUGUGCCACCCCUUUUCCUCUCUGUUUCAGGUAGUACGUAAUCCCUGAGUUAAAUAAAGAAGCAACAAUAGACACACAGCAUAUAUAUCCUGAGCAGGCUACACCCCUUGGCAUCCAGUCCCAGUUAGCUUUCUGAGGUGUGGACUGUGAGAAUUUGGGCUGCUGGGGAAAAAGAAGCAAAAGGCUUGGCUUUUCUGGGAAAGUGGUCUAAGCAGGGGGCACAAAUGUCCAGUACUUGAAAUACACCUAUGGUACACAUUCUGGAGGCCCGAAGAGAGAGACAUUUCAUUUUCUCAAGGAAAAGAGAAGUGAGAUAAAGAAAGUAAAAACAAAGGAAGGAAGGAGGAGACAGAGAAAGGAUUUGAGAAGUAGAUACCAGUUAGGAACUACACAGUGAUGAUUCACAUUGCAUUGAAGAGUCUUGGAAAUGUGGUUCAAUUUCUUUACAAAUUAUGCUCCCAAACUGCUCCCUUGCUCAUAUUGCCAAUGGAAUGCUUUGAGUAAAAUCUAUCCUUCAUGAUUUAAAUUCAAA